rnacentral:rRNA from 1 species
AUUGAACGCUGGCGGCAUGCUUUACACAUGCAAGUCGAACGGCAGCGCGGGCUUCGGCCUGGCGGCGAGUGGCGAACGGGUGAGUAAUGCAUCGGAACGUGCCCAGUAGUGGGGGAUAGCCCGGCGAAAGCCGGAUUAAUACCGCAUACGACCUGAGGGUGAAAGCGGGGGACCGAAAGGCCUCGCGCUAUUGGAGCGGCCGAUGUCGGAUUAGCUAGUUGGUGGGGUAAAGGCUUACCAAGGCGACGAUCCGUAGCUGGUCUGAGAGGACGACCAGCCACCCUGGGUCAGAGACACGGCCCAGACUCCUGCGGGGGGCAGCAGUGGGGAAUUUUGGACAAUGGGGGCAACCCUGAUCCAGCCAUGCCGCGUGCGGGAAGAAGGCCUUCGGGUUGUAGACCGCUUUUGUUCGGGGAGAAAUCCUCUGGGCUAAUACCCCGGGGGGAUGACGGUACCGGAAGAAUAAGCACCGGCUAACUACGUG